rnacentral:rRNA from 1 species
GGAGUCUGGGCCGUGUCUCAGUCCCAAUGUGGCCGUCCGCCCUCUCAGGCCGGCUACCGAUCGUCGCUUUGGUGGGCCGUUACCCCGCCAACUGGCUAAUCGGACGCGGGCCCAUCCUGUACCGUCGGAGCUUUUUCACACUGCACCAUGCGGUGCUGUGCGCUUAUGCGGUAUUACCAGCCGUUUCCAGCUGCUAUCCCCCAGUACAGGGCAGGUUGCCCACGCGUUACUCACCCGUCCGCCACUAAGUUUACUCAAGAUUCUGCCGAAGCUUCAUCAGCGCGUAAACCCCGUUCGACUUGCAUGUGUUAGGCACGCCGCCAGCGUUCAUC